rnacentral:rRNA from 1 species
AGUCGAGCGGAAACGAUGGUAGCUUGCUACCAGGCGUCGAGCGGCGGACGGGUGAGUAAUACUUAGGAAUCUACCUAGUAGUGGGGGAUAGCUCGGGGAAACUCGAAUUAAUACCGCAUACGACCUACGGGAGAAAGGGGGCAGUUUACUGCUCUCGCUAUUAGAUGAGCCUAAGUCGGAUUAGCUAGAUGGUGGGGUAAAGGCCUACCAUGGCGACGAUCUGUAGCUGGUCUGAGAGGAUGAUCAGCCACACCGGGACUGAGACACGGCCCGGACUCCUACGGGAGGCAGCAGUGGGGAAUAUUGGACAAUGGGGGAAACCCUGAUCCAGCCAUGCCGCGUGUGUGAAGAAGGCCUUUUGGUUGUAAAGCACUUUAAGCAGUGAAGAAGACUCCGUGGUUAAUACCCACGGACGAUGACAUUAGCUGCAGAAUAAGCACCGGCUAACUCUGUGCCAGCAGCCGCGGUAAUACAGAGGGUGCAAGCGUUAAUCGGAAUUACUGGGCGUAAAGGGAGCGUAGGUGGCUCGAUAAGUCAGAUGUGAAAUCCCCGGGCUCAACCUGGGAACUGCAUCUGAUACUGUUGAGCUAGAGUAUGUGAGAGGAAGGUAGAAUUCCAGGUGUAGCGGUGAAAUGCGUAGAGAUCUGGAGGAAUACCGAUGGCGAAGGCAGCCUUCUGGCAUAAUACUGACACUGAGGCUCGAAAGCGUGGGUAGCAAACAGGAUUAGAUACCCUGGUAGUCCACGCCGUAAACGAUGUCUACUAGUCGUUGGGUCCCUUGAGGACUUAGUGACGCAGCUAACGCAAUAAGUAGACCGCCUGGGGAGUACGGCCGCAAGGUUAAAACUCAAAUGAAUUGACGGGGGCCCGCACAAGCGGUGGAGCAUGUGGUUUAAUUCGAUGCAACGCGAAGAACCUUACCUGGUCUUGACAUAUCUAGAAUCCUGCAGAGAUGCGGGAGUGCCUUCGGGAAUUAG